rnacentral:rRNA from 1 species
CUUGAGCCGUGGCUUUCGGAGCUAACGCGUUAAGUAGACCGCCUGGGGAGUACGGUCGCAAGAUUAAAACUCAAAUGAAUUGACGGGGGCCCGCACAAGCGGUGGAGCAUGUGGUUUAAUUCGAUGCAACGCGAAGAACCUUACCUACUCUUGACAUCCAGAGAACUUAGCAGAGAUGCUUUGGUGCCUUCGGGAACUCUGAGACAGGUGCUGCAUGGCUGUCGUCAGCUCGUGUUGUGAAAUGUUGGGUUAAGUCCCGCAACGAGCGCAACCCUUAUCCUUGUUUGCCAGCACUUCGGGUGGGAACUCCAGGGAGACUGCCGGUGAUAAACCGGAGGAAGGUGGGGACGACGUCAAGUCAUCAUGGCCCUUACGAGUAGGGCUACACACGUGCUACAAUGGCGCAUACAGAGGGCGGCCAACUUGCGAAAGUGAGCGAAUCCCAAAAAGUGCGUCGUAGUCCGGAUUGGAGUCUGCAACUCGACUCCAUGAAGUCGGAAUCGCUAGUAAUCGUGGAUCAGAAUGCCACGGUGAAUACGUUCCCGGGCCUUGUACACACCGCCCGUCACACCAUGGGAGUGGGCUGCAAAAGAAGUGGGUAGUUUAACCUUCGGGAGGACGCUCACCA